rnacentral:misc_RNA from 1 species
CCUGUUUACCAGGAUCAAAUUUACUUUCUUCACGUCACAAUAGAUCAUUUAUUGACUGCAUUCACCUACAAGAGAUUUCACGAGAUGAAGUUAUCACUACCUUUACUGCUUCUGGGGGUUGUACUGUACCUAUGCUUCGCCGAAGAGGAAAUCGAGUGUGGAACCAAAGGAGAAGGACUUGGAAGAAUUGUAGGUGGAACGGACGUAACUACUGUAGGUCAAUGGCCGUGGCAGAUAACGUUAUUUAAACGUAGUGGUCAUUUUUCAUCAAGCCUAAUUGGAUAGUUACUGCUGCUCAUUGUUUUAAACCAGGAGCCAAACCAUCCAAUUACAGAGUCACUGUCGCUGAUCUUAACCUCGCGAAAAACGAAGGUAACGAAAAGGUAAAG